rnacentral:rRNA from 1 species
AUUGAACGCUGGCGGCAGGCCUAACACAUGCAAGUCGAGCGGAUGAAGGGAGCUUGCUCCUGGAUUCAGCGGCGGACGGGUGAGUAAUGCCUAGGAAUCUGCCUGGUAGUGGGGGAUAACGUCCGGAAACGGGCGCUAAUACCGCAUACGUCCUGAGGGAGAAAGUGGGGGAUCUUCGGACCUCACGCUAUCAGAUGAGCCUAGGUCGGAUUAGCUAGUUGGUGGGGUAAAGGCCUACCAAGGCGACGAUCCGUAACUGGUCUGAGAGGAUGAUCAGUCACACUGGAACUGAGACACGGUCCAGACUCCUACGAGAGGCAGCAGUGGGGAAUAUUGGAGGAUGGGCGAAAGCGUGAUCCAGCCAUGCCGCGUGUGUGAAGAUGGUCUUAGGCUGGUAGAGCACUUAAGGUUGGGAGGUAGUGCAGUAAGUUAACACGUGACGGUAUUGACGUUACCGGCAGAAUAAGCCCCGGCUAACUUCGUG